UUAUUCUGCGCCGCGCAUGAGGUGACGAUUGUCACCUCACCUCGAGUCACCGUGAGAUUUGUCACCUUAUUCCCGGAGUCGUUGUGGGUAAAGUGACAGAGGUUCACUCUAGGUGAGUGACCGAAUGAACACAUCUGUCAAAAUGGUAGAAUUUUGCUGGUGUUGUUUGGAUUUUGCUCUCGCUUCGGAUUUUCCGAAGUAAGUUUUUAGAAUUUCGGGUUAGAAUUUCGGUUCGAAAAUGGCCAUCAUCGGAUGGUACGGUUACAGCAAGCUGCUUCAGGAAGAAAAACGGACGAUUUGUGCGACGUAAGUGGAAAUUUCGUUCAUCAAAGCUAAGUUCGGAUCUGGGUCAUAUUGCCGGGGAAAAAAAAUCAGAUGCCGACGGCUGCUGCUCCAAAAACCCAGCGCACAAAAAGGCGGUGUUUGUUAAACAUUUCCAAAGGUUUAUCAGUAAUGGCGAAUGCUGCCGGUUUAUAUAUUUUCCUCAACUGAAGUUACCCCCGUGGCAUGCCGGAAGUUGUUUCGCCUGCCAGAUAGGAGAUCAUGGAAUGCCGAGCAUUUAUCGAAACCAACGAAAUAGCAGCAGCAGCAUCAGAUUCAAACGACAAAUUUCGGUCACAUAAACCUAAAUCCGGUUUCUUUGCAUAGCAUAUUAUUAAAAAGUGAAAAUAAAAUUAAAAGUACUAUAAUAUUUGAA